AAUUCUCAACCUCAUCACUUUUGUGAAUGACGGCUUGGAUGUGGAGGUUUCUGCAGGCCGAAAGGUCUGCUCCUCUCAAAUGAAUUAGUGGGUGCCCCGCGCAAACCUAUCUAUUGGUGUGAUAAUUAUCUACGCCGUGGACUUGGGAUUGCUGUAAAAAGGUGUUUGCCCUGCUUCUAACCGUCCAUUGACUUGGACAACUUGAACC
rnacentral:misc_RNA from 2 species